CAAAAACAUUGCUUUUUGAAUUUUAAAUAAAAAGUAAUUCCUGCCCAGUGAUAUUUUUCAACGGCCGCGGUAUCCUAACCGUGCAAAGGUAGCAUAAUAAUUUGCCUAUUAAUUGUAGGCUAGAAUGAAAGGAUUAACGAAAUAUAACCUGUCUCUAUAAGAUCAAUAAAAAUUAAUAUUCAAACGAAGAAUAUUGAAUAUAAUCGAAGGACAAGAAGACCCUAUAGAGCUUUAUUUAAAUAAAAGAUUUUUUUUUGUGUAGAUUUAGUUGGGGCGACUAGGGAAUAAAAAUCAUCCCAAAGACAAAGAUUAAUUAAUCAAUUUUAUGACCCUUAAUAAAGAUCAUGAAACUAAGCUACCUUAGGGAUAACAGGCUAAUCCCACUAAAGAGUCCUUAUCAAAAGUGGGGUUUGGCACCUCGAUGUUGGCUUAGGGAAUCUAUGUGACGCAAAAGUCACAUAAAGAUGGUUUGUUCAACCUAUAAUACCCUACAUGAUCU
rnacentral:rRNA from 1 species